AGCAGCCGCGGUAAUUCCAGCUCCAAUAGCGUAUAUUAAAGUUGUUGCAGUUAAAAAGCUCGUAGUUGAAUUUCGGGAUCAAUGUUUCGGUCAUGCCGUUGGUAUGUACUGAUAUUAUUGAUUUCUCACCUUCUAAAGAACCGUAAUGCCAUUAAUUUGGCGUCACGGGGAAUUAGGACUGUUACCUUGAAAAAUUGGAGUGUUUAAAGCAGGCUCACGCUUGAAUACAUUAGCAUGGAAUAAUGAAAUAGGACAUCCGAUUCUAUUUUGUUGGUUUCUAGGAUCGAUGUAAUGAUUAAUAGGGAUAGUUGGGGGCAUUAGUAUUCAAUUGUCAAAAGGUGAAAUUCUUGGAUUUAUCGAAGACUAACUACUGCGAAAGCAUUUGCCAAGGAUGUUUUCAUUAAUCAAGAACGAAAGUUAGGGGAUCGAAGACGAUCAGAUACCGUCGUA
rnacentral:rRNA from 1 species